UGGUGCAGUGGUUAGAGUACUUGGCUGCUAACCAAAAGGUUGGUGGUUCAAACCCACC
rnacentral:tRNA from 1 species